GAUGAAGAACGCAGCGAAAUGCGAUACGUAAUGUGAAUUGCAAAUUCAGUGAAUCAUCGAGUCUUUGAACGCACAUUGCGCCCCCUGGUAUUCCGGGGGGCAUGCCUGUCCGAGCGUCAUUGCUGCCCUCAAGCACGGCUUGUGUGUUGGGCCCCGUCCUCCGAUCCCGGGGGACGGGCCCGAAAGGCAGCGGCGGCACCGCGUCCGGUCCUCGAGCGUAUGGGGCUUUGUCACCCGCUCUGUAGGCCCGGCCGGCGCUUGCCGAUCAACCCAAGUUUUUAUCCAGGUUGACCUCGGAUCAGGUAGGGAUACCCGCUGAACUUAAGCAUAUCAAUAAGCGGAGGA
rnacentral:misc_RNA from 1 species